rnacentral:lncRNA from 1 species
UCUUGGGCUGCUCCUGUGGCAUAUGGAGGUUCCCAGGCUAGGGGGCUAGUCAGAGCUGUAGAGGUCAGCCUAAGCCAGAGCCACAGCAAUGCGGGAUCUGAGCCGCAUCUGUGACCUACACCACAGCUCAUGGCAACGCCGGAUCCUUAACCCACUGAGCAAGGCCAGGAUCAAACCUGCAACCUCAUGGUUCCUAGUCGGAUUCGUUAACCACUGUGCCAUGACGGGAACUCCCACCUGAAGGUGUUGACUGCCAAAGCAUGUUUCUGGGAUGACUAUUCCUAGACUCACUAGCUUCUGACAUGCUGCCAACAUGGAAUUAAAACCCUUCAGAGUGAAGGACAUGUGUCCUUGGACAUUGACUGACACCAUACUCAGGGCCUCUGUGACAAAGGAAGGGAAACCAGAUUUGUAAUACAUAUAGAAACAUGAUGGAAGAUUAGGAGACAAGAUGGUGGACGAGAUGGUAGAAGGACUAAGGCUCACCUCUGCUCACAAAAACACCAAAAUAACAACUGUUAACAACCAUUAACAAAAAAGACAGCAACUUACGAAAAAAUUUAUUCUACAUCCAAAGACAAGAAGGUAUGAGAUGGUAGGAGGUGUACUUUCAUGAUAUAGUCAAAUCCCAUACUCGCCAGGUGGGCCACCCAUGAACUAGAAAAUAAUUAUAUCCCAGAGGUUCUCUCACAGGAGUGAGUUCUAAGCCCCACAUCAGGCUCCCCAGUUUGGAGGUCUGGCAUUGGGAGGAGACCUCAGAGCAUUUGGCUUUGAGGCCAGCAGGGCAUGAGUGCAGGAGCUCCAUAGGACUUGGGGAAACAGAGACUUCACUUGUGGAGGGCACGUAGAAGUUUUCAUGUUCACUGGGACCCAGGGCAAUGCAGGGUCCCAGUGACUCCAUAGAAGACUAGGCCAGACUUACCCCACAGGUCUAAGAGGGUCUCCUGGGGAGGUGAGGGUUGGCUAUGGCUCACUGUGGAGGCAAGGACACUGGUGGCAGAUGAAUCUGGGAAUAUUCAUUGGCAUAAGCUCUCCCAGAGAUCGCCAUUUUGGCAUCAAGACCUGGCUCACUCAACAGCAGUGCUUCAGUGUUGGGAUGCAUCAUGCCAAACAACAACAGUCUUGGAACGGAGAUCUAUCCAUCAGCAUACAGGCUACAUAAGGUCAUCCUGAGACUAAUGCUGCCUCUAAACACACAGCUUGAUAUGGCUCUGCCCACUAGAACAAUAAGACCCAGCUCCACCCACCAGUGGAGAAGCACCAGUCCUUCCAACCAGGAAGCCUACCUGAACCAACCUCAUCCACUAGGGGAGACAGCAGAAGCAAGAAGAACUACAGUCCUGCAGCCUAUGGAAUAGAGACCACAAACACAGAAAGUUAGACAAAAUGAGAGAGCAGAGAAAUAUUUUCCAGAGGAAGGAAUAAGAUAAAACUUCAGAGGAAUAACUAAAUGAAGUGGAGAUAGGCCAUUUACCUGUAAAAGAAUUCAAAGUAAUGAUAAUAACGAUGAUCUAAGAUCUUGGAAAAAGAAUGGACAAAGAGACUGAGAAGAUACUAGAUAUGUUUAUCAAAGAGUUUGAAGAUUUAAUGAACAAAAAAAUAGAGAUGAACAAUACAAUGACUAAAACAAAAAAUACUCUAGAAGGAAUCAGUAGAACAAAUGAGGCAGAAAAAUGACUAAGUGACCUGGAAGAUAGACUGGUGGAAAUAAUUUCUGCUGAACAGAAUAAAGAGAAGGAAUGACAAAAAAUGAGGACAGUCUAAGAGACUUCUGGGACAAUAUUAAAUGCACCAACAUUUGCAUGGUGAAAGAAGAGAGAGAGAAAGGGCUGGAGAAAAUAUUUGAAGAGAUAAUCAUCAAAAACUUCCCAAACAUGGGAAAGGAAACACUCAAGUACAGGAAGCACAUGCAGGAUAAAUCCAAGGAGGAACAUGCUAAGACACGUAUUAAUGAAAAUAACAAACAUUGAAGACAAAGAGAAAAUAUUAAAUGCAACAAGGAAAUAGCAACAAAUAACAUUCAAGUAAAUUCCCAUAGUCAUCAGCUGAUUUUUUAGCAGAAACUCUGCAAGCCAGAAAGGAUGGUAUGUUAUAUUUAAGGUCAUGAAAGGGAAAAAAAAACUACAAAUAAGAACACUCUACCAAGCAAGGAUCUCAUUCAGAUUCAAUGGAGAAAUCAAAAGCAUUACAGAUAAGCAAAAGCUAAGAGAAUUUAGCACCAUCAAGCCAGGAUUACAAUAAAUGCUCUUUUAGAACAUCUCUGAGCAGAAAAUAUCACAAAUAGAAACAAGAAAAUUAUGAAUGGGAAAGCUCACUGGUAAAGGCAAACGUACAGUAAUGAUAGGAUAUCAUCUACACACAAAUAUGAUAUUAAAACCAGUAACUGAGAGAAGAGGUGAGUACAAAUGCAGCAUUUUGGAAAGGCUUUUGAAAUUAAGAGAUUAGCAACUGAGAACAAUCCUGUAUAUACACAGACUGCCAUAUUAAAAUCUCAUGGGAACUGCAAGGCAAAAAUCUACAGUAGGUAUACACACAAAACAGAUAAAGCAAUCUAAACACAAUACUAAAAAUAGUCAUCAAAUCAUAAGAGAAGAGAACAAAAGAGAAUGGGGAAAAGACUUACAAUGAACAAAAUGGCAAUAAGAACAUGCAUAUUGAUAAUUAUGUUAAAUGUGAAUGGAUUAAAUGCUUCAACCAAAAGACACAGACUAGCUCAAUGGAUGUCAAAACAAGACCUCUAUAUAUGCUGUCUACAAGAGACCCGCUUCAAAUCUAGGGACACAUACAGAUUCAAAGUGAGGGGAUGAGACCAGAUUCUAUAGAACUCUUAGAAGAAAACGUAGGCAGAAUACCCUUUGACAUUGAUAGUAGCAAUAACUUUUUGGAUCCACUUCCUAGAGUAAUGAAAAUAAAAACAAAUGGAACCCAAUUAAACUUAAAAGCUUUUUGCAUAGCAAAGGAAACCAUUAAAAAAAUGAAAAGACAACCUACAUAAUGGGAGAAAAUAUUUGCAAAUAAAGAGACUGACAAGGGAUUAAUCUCCAAAAUAUACAAAUAACUCAUGCAGCUAAAUAAUAAUUAAAAAAAACCCAAUACAAAAUAGACAGACAAUCUAAUUAGACAUUUCUCCAAAGAAAACAUACAGUUGGCCAAUAGGCCCAUGAAAAGAUGCUCAACAUUGCUAAUCAUUAGAGAAAUGCAAAUCAAAACUACAGUAAGGUACCAUCCUACACUGGUGAGAAUGGCCAUUAUUAAAAAGCAUACAAACAAUUAACUCUGGAGAAGGUGCAGAGGAAAGGGAACUCCUCUGGACUGUUGGUGGGAAUAUAAAUUAGUGCAACCACUUUUGAGAGCACUAUGGAGGUUCCUCAAGUAACUGAAAUUAGAGUUGCUGUAUGAUCUAGCUAUCACACUCCUAUAGUCCUUGAGGAGGAGCUAAAGGUCCCAGCCAAGGAUGGGGGUGGGAAGGAGUUGUGGUAUUUAGUAACUCUCUCUCAUCAGUCAUCAGUUAAGGAAUUUCACUCAGGGAUUAUUAAUUCUGGCCUUCCAUGUGUGGGCAAGGUGAGUUCUGGCAGCCCUUCAACCAAGAUACAGUUGCAGGCUGAUGUACAGUGAGCACCGAGAGAUUUUCAAUAGCUAAUUUAACACAUUUGAAGAAGUUAGGGAGAAAACCAUUUAGAACAAUACACUUAAAAUGAAAUUAUUGAAAUAAAAAGACAUGUAAUAGGCAAAGAGAAUCUUGGUAGAAGCAAUUAUUAGAUUGAGAUUAGUUGUCACCUUUAGCCCUAAAGGUGUCAGCAUCUAAAAUUUUCUCUUCUUUUAGUGAGUUAAAAACUGUAGUAACAAAGUUGAAUUGAGCAGUGACUCUCCUUUUAGUGUAUUACCAUUAAUAGGAGAGUUCUGCGGGUUUGUGGUAUUAAUGCAGUUUUCCACUAAGCCUCACCAAUCUAAAUUUAUUUCAUUUUUUAUUAAGAAAGAAUAUUAAGUCAUGUCAAAUAUUAUAGUUUUGUAUCUCACAAGAUGACCAUAUUGUGUCAUUUAAUUUUAUGUCUGUCUUUUACAAGCAACAUAGAGCUGGAUUUUUAUUUGUGAAUGUAUGUAUUUAAUUUUAACCUUUUCUUAGGGUCUGUCAUAAAAAUUUAACACAUUCUUAUUUAUCACGAUGACAAAUGUGUUUGAAAUUAUUUUUGCCAUCUUUUUUAGUUUUCCUCUUUUAACUAAAAUUUUCAGUUAUUUUUAUUUUGCUUUCUUGUCCUCUAUUACUGUUUUUUCUUCAUCCUAAACUUCUAGCUUCUGCCACCUCCAAUGCUGUAAUCAUUUGAGAUUUUUAGUUUGAGAUUGUCUUUAAAUUUUAACAUUGAUAUAUAAGUACAUAUUGAACACGUGUUUUUAGUCUUCAUUGCCCCUCCCUAUUAGCACUAAUGCAUCUGUUUUUAUGUAUGUAUGUAUUUACUCAUGAAGUAAAAUGUGCAUAGUACUCUAUUUUUUGCCCUUUUCGGUAUACAAAAGAAUAUGGUUGUAUAAUCACCACCACAUCAAGAGACAGGACAGUUCUAUUAAUUCGGUAAUCCUCUUGGGCUCUAGUGUAGUCAGUCCUUCCCCCAACUGCAGUUCCUAACAACCAUUCAUUUGUUUUCUGUACCUAUAAUUUUUGCCUCUUCCGAAAUGCCAUAGAAAUGCAACUACACAAUAUGAGUAUUUGGGUCAGGCUUCUUUCACUUAGAAUAACGACUUGAGAUUCAUGCAUAU